CCUCCAGUUCUUCACAUGCCUGUGUCUGUCUGUGUCCUGUGCGUGUGUCAGAGAGGGAGAGUGAGCUCAGUGUUAAAGUCUUCGGUACCAGUAAGUCUCCAUCUUCUGGUCCUAUCCUCGUUGGCUGAGACAUGC